GCGUGUGUGAGAUCAUUUUUAAACACAUAAAUGUAGUAGUUUUUUCACAACUGGUAAAGCUUUCACUUGCUUUUUAGCAUAACAAUGUCGCCGUCUUUCCAUGACUCUGGGUGUAUCGGUUGGUUCUCGACAUGGCUAUCCUCCAGCAGUCCCUCGGUUGCCAUGUCCUCGUAUUCACUCUUCUUCCAUUCCUACCUAUAAAAAACAAAAAUAUUUAACCAUAAAUAGUUAUAAAACAUGUUGUAAUUUUUCAUCAAUUUGUUAUCAAAAUGGCCUUACCUCCACCGUCGAGUCUGCUUCCUCCAAAGCCAGCAACACAUUUUUUCGCACGCGAUCUUUUUUGUCUUUUACAACUGGCCGUGACUCCAUAAAGUCUUCUUCCUGUUUCUUCAGUUCAAUUUCAGGAUGAAAGGCAGGGUUCGGCAACAGGUCUGCCUCUUUCGCAAAAUAAGUGUAAAUGGGUCGUCUUUUCUGAACGUGAGCUGGUGCACCCACGGGCAAUUCCAGCUUCUUGGCAUCUGGAGGCGUCUUGUAGAAGGACAUGACCAUUGUCUCGGCUACCGGUUUUAAAACUGCCGUUCGUAAAAAUACCGGUUUUGUACACAUGGUCAAAUGCUCGUUGGCUAGAGGUUUUUUCAAAUAAUACACUUCACGAUCGUCCUUUUUUGAAAGGCUCUUCUUUUAGAAUCUUGGUAUGAAAGGAUUGGUUCAAAAAGUGCAUUCUGUGACAUAGCUGUAAAGCAGCUACGGAUGGGUCUACCGAAAGACAGGGCUAGCUCCCAAGGGUCACCUCCAAGAACAGCUAUCAUUUCACUACCGACAGUUGCUGGAGUAGGACGUUUCGCUCUGCAUGUGUUCAGUAACACAGCCUCUCUUAUUGCUUUAUUUUUUUUCUAAAACCUUUUUUCUUUGCCCUGUGCUUAUUUUUUCCUUUUUUUCCUCUAAACCUAACGAAAGCUUCCUUUUUUAAUCUUUACGCUUUCUCACUCUCUUCUUUCAACCUUUUUUUCCUCUAAACAAUCCACCAAAUGUAUCCAAGCACAAGCAUGCAACAUUCCUCCUAUUCAAAUGUAAAAAAUAAAAAUUCAAAAUGGCUGACGGUGCCAAACCGUGACACCAAUGGGACUGGAGGGCAGGACAUAGGUUUCCACACCCCAUUUAGGACUUAUCAAGCUGUAUGCUAUGGUUAUAGAACACCGAUGGGACUUCCUUGCAUAGUCUUUGACACUCAUAUUCUGGCCUUCAUGGGACAUAAGCAUGUGACUAAUUGCAAGAAGUCGUAGGGCCAUUAGCAUGUGCAGUAGUGUUCUGCAGAGUCAGCUGCUUCAUAAACAGAAGGCAAUUUUUGUGCCUUCCCUGAAUCAAGAGAGAAGUUCUUUCAGUUAGUCAUGAUAACAAGUUCUAACUUCGCAUGGAUACGGUUGUUCUGUUUUGAACUCCAUGAAGCAAUGUUGAAUUUCUGAUACUGUUCAUCCUUUUGUAGAAAUAAGCUUCCAUUAGUGGAUAAAGCAUCAUAAAUAAUUUUCUGGAUAUUCUGGUCCUGGGGGGCGAGGAGAAUCUCUGUCAUCGAGUUUAAAUGAGGAAAAGAAUUUUUAUUUGCCUAAAAUCAGGAUUCCCGUGGGACAGAUAACAGGAAAUUGCUUGACAAAAUGCAUAAUUAAUCCAUGGAACUCGGUGCCAUGAGACUCUGAAGUAAAGAGUUUGGUAGAAUUCAAAGAAGGAUGAGACACUCAAACUCUUGUCCUGCAAACACUUAAAACGGUUUUUAACAUCACUCGUGAACUAUCCCCUACAAAUCAAUGGGUCUACCCAGGUAAAUAUAGUUAUGCAUGUGAGUGUUUCAGGGUCUGGGCCUUAAUUUGGCAAUAUAAAUAUAUGCACUUUGGAUAAUUUAGUUGGCUUACUCCUCUUUGGGACAUGAGGGGAGCCAUUAACUGUGGGGUUAGGAGGAAUCUUUCCCUGUCCAGCUGGCCUCCUGUGGGCAUAAUUAUCCAUAAUGGAGGUUUUACAGGUUUCUCUGUAGCUUCUGUGACUGGCCGUGGUCAGAAAGGAGAUAAGACUAGACCAGGGUUUCUCAACCUGUGGGUUGGGACAUAAAAUAGGGUUGCCAGAAGACUUGUUUCAAAGGGUCACAUGGCAGCUCCUGUGGCUCACCUCCCUGCUCUGCGUGCUACAAUCUCUGGGAUUCCAGCACCACUCAGGUUUGGAGCAGCCGUCAUGACGACAGCAGCCUGGGUAGGCAGAGGUGGAUUAGAGGUUUGUGGGGCCAUGGGCCAGAGCAAGUUGGGGGGGCCCUUCCCACCCCUUCUACCUGCAGUCUCCCUGUUUUCCUCCCCAGGCACUUCAGCUGGGGAGCGGGGUGGGGGCAUGGAGACUUGCCCUGCCCCACCCACCCGGCACGCCUGCAAGACCCUGCGUCCGCUCCCCAGCAGGAGCGCUGGGCAGGUGCAUGGAGCAGGUCAGGGCGCUGGGGCACGCCUUUUUCUGGGGGGGCCCCAAUUGUCCGGGGCCCCUUGGGCAAGGGCCCCAUUGGGUCAGUGGUUAAUCUGCCACUGUGAGUAGGCCAAAUCUGAGCAGCGCUGCAACCCCAUGAGCCAGGUCGCAACUCCACUCUCUCAAAUUUGGUCCAGUCGAGGGGCGGGGGCCAAACUGUAGUGACGUUUCAAACCUGAAGGUUGCAAUGACUGAAGCAGAGAGACCAGCUUAGCUAGCCCCUUGGCACAGGAACCACCACUGUGGGUGAAUGCCAGGCAGGGACCAACCCUCCUGGGAUGCAGGACCUGACUGAAACCACCCCAGGGCCUCCAUGCCCAGACUGUUUACUGGGUCACGACAGGCCAUAAACAUUUACAAAUGGGUCCUCAGCCCAAAAAAGGUUAACCACUGGAUUGGAUGAUUGGCUUGAUCUGCCAUAGUAUUUGCUAUGUUAGGGGGAGCAAGUUAGCAUAUCCCUUUUUCUUUUUCCCAUUAAGGUAAUCUGAGGUAACACUAAUAUUCGUCUUGUUUUCUUCUAGGAAGACCAUGUAAAUCACUAGAACUACAAAAUGGCAGGGUUGAUUUAACCGAUUUCCGGUUUGGUGCAACAGCCAACUUCUCCUGUAGUGAAGGUUGCAGAUUAAUUGGACCGACUUGUGCCCCAUGUGCGCUUGUGGGAGAUUGCACAAUUCAAUGGUUUUAAGAACAGUUCACGUCUGGAGAUGAUGCAGCAUAGCUGGUGCUACAGAGGAGUCUGUUCUUACAUCUUUUAAUCCAAAUAAGAGUAAAACUUGAGGAUGUAUGUUUGGUUGGGGAGAAAAUGAAAUCCUACUGUGGUUCACCAUGGUGUUUGGAUGACUCCUAUAGAAUCAAAGCUUAAAAACAAAGUCCCUUCUAGAUUGUUCACCUGGCGCUGUUUAAUAUUCAUAAUCCAACAGGCCUUAUGGCACCUCUUCGCUGGUGUAUCUGUGUAAUCCCUGCUGUUUGCGAAGUAAAAGGCAUGAUGAUGACUUCAAGAAGUCUUGACCCUUCCCAAACCUGACUACCCACUUAAAAUCUGAGGCUCUUUGGGAAUGAAUCACAAUUAAUUUGCUUGUACCUUA